rnacentral:rRNA from 1 species
GGGGGGGGGGGGGGGGGGGGGUGGGGGGGGGGGGGGGGGGGGGGGGGGCGUGGGGGUGGGGGGUGGUCGAGGGGGGGGGGGGGGAGUAAGAGGUGAGUAACCUGCCCUUGACUUUGGGAUAACUUCAGGGAACUGGGGCUAAUACCGGAUAGGAGGUCCUGCUGCAUGGUGGGGGUUGGAGAGUUUCGGCGGUUGGGGAUGGACUCGCGGCUUAUCAGCUUGUUGGUGGGGUAGUGGCUUACCAAGGCUUUGACGGGUAGCCGGCCUGAGAGGGUGACCGGCCACAUUGGGACUGAGAUACGGCCCAGACUCCUACGGGAGGCAGCAGUGGGGAAUAUUGCACAAUGGGCGGAAGCCUGAUGCAGCAACGCCGCGUGCGGGAUGACGGCCUUCGGGUUGUAAACCGCUUUCGCCUGUGACGAAGCGUGAGUGACGGUAAUGGGUAAAGAAGCACCGGCUAACUACGUG